rnacentral:rRNA from 1 species
UUAAGCGACUAAGCGUACACGGUGGAUGCCCUGGCAGUCAGAGGCGAUGAAGGACGUGCUAAUCUGCGAAAAGCGUCGGUAAGGUGAUAUGAACCGUUAUAGCCGGCGAUGUCCGAAUGGGGAAACCCAGUGCAAUUCGUUGCACUAUCGUUAACUGAAUACAUAGGUUAACGAGGCGAACCGGGGGAACUGAAACAUCUAAGUACCCCGAGGAAAAGAAAUCAACCGAGAUUCCCCCAGUAGCGGCGAGCGAACGGGGAGCAGCCCAGAGUCUGAAUCAGCUUGUGUGUUAGUGGAACGGUCUGGAAAGUCCGACGGUACAGGGUGAUAGUCCCGUACACCAAAAUGCACAGGCUGUGAACUCGAAGAGUAGGGCGGGACACGUGGUAUCCUGUCUGAAUAUGGGGGGACCAUCCUCCAAGGCUAAAUACUCCUGACUGACCGAUAGUGAACCAGUACCGUGAGGGAAAGGCGAAAAGAACCCCGGCGAGGGGAGUGAAAAAGAACCUGAAACCGUGUACGUACAAGCAGUGGGAGCACCUUCGGGUGUGACUGCGUACCUUUUGUAUAAUGGGUCAGCGACUUAUAUUCUGUAGCAAGGUUAACCGUAUAGGGGAGCCGCAGGGAAACCGAGUCUUAACUGGGCGUUAAGUUGCAGGGUAUAGACCCGAAACCCGGUGAUCUAGCCAUGGGCAGGUUGAAGGUUGGGUAACACUAACUGGAGGACCGAACCGACUAAUGUUGAAAAAUUAGCGGAUGACUUGUGGCUGGGGGUGAAAGGCCAAUCAAACCGGGAGAUAGCUGGUUCUCCCCGAAAGCUAUUUAGGUAGCGCCUCGUGAAUUCAUCUUCGGGGGUAGAGCACUGUUUCGGCUAGGGGGUCAUCCCGACUUACCAACCCGAUGCAAACUACGAAUACCGAAGAAUGUUAUCACGGGAGACACACGGCGGGUGCUAACGUCCGUCGUGAAGAGGGAAACAACCCAGACCGCCAGCUAAGGUCCCAAAGUCAUGGUUAAGUGGGAAACGAUGUGGGAAGGCACAGACAGCCAGGAUGUUGGCUUAGAAGCAGCCAUCAUUUAAAGAAAGCGUAAUAGCUCACUGGUCGAGUCGGCCUGCGCGGAAGAUGUAACGGGGCUAAACCAUGCACCGAAGCUGCGGCAGCGACACUAUGUGUUGUUGGGUAGGGGAGCGUUCUGUAAGCCUGCGAAGGUGUGCUGUGAGGCAUGCUGGAGGUAUCAGAAGUGCGAAUGCUGACAUAAGUAACGAUAAAGCGGGUGAAAAGCCCGCUCGCCGGAAGACCAAGGGUUCCUGUCCAACGUUAAUCGGGGCAGGGUGAGUCGACCCCUAAGGCGAGGCCGAAAGGCGUAGUCGAUGGGAAACAGGUUAAUAUUCCUGUACUUGGUGUUACUGCGAAGGGGGGACGGAGAAGGCUAUGUUAGCCGGGCGACGGUUGUCCCGGUUUAAGCAUGUAGGCUGGUUAUCCAGGCAAAUCCGGAUAAUCAAGGCUGAGGUGUGAUGACGAGGCACUACGGUGCUGAAGUAACAAAUGCCCUGCUUCCAGGAAAAGCCUCUAAGCAUCAGGUAACAUUAAAUCGUACCCCAAACCGACACAGGUGGUCAGGUAGAGAAUACCAAGGCGCUUGAGAGAACUCGGGUGAAGGAACUAGGCAAAAUGGUGCCGUAACUUCGGGAGAAGGCACGCUGGUGUGUAGGUGAAGCCCCUGCGGGUGGAGCUGAGACCAGUCGAAGAUACCAGCUGGCUGCAACUGUUUAUUAAAAACACAGCACUGUGCAAACACGAAAGUGGACGUAUACGGUGUGACGCCUGCCCGGUGCCGGAAGGUUAAUUGAUGGGGUUAUCCGUAAGGAGAAGCUCUUGAUCGAAGCCCCGGUAAACGGCGGCCGUAACUAUAACGGUCCUAAGGUAGCGAAAUUCCUUGUCGGGUAAGUUCCGACCUGCACGAAUGGCGUAAUGAUGGCCAGGCUGUCUCCACCCGAGACUCAGUGAAAUUGAACUCGCUGUGAAGAUGCAGUGUACCCGCGGCAAGACGGAAAGACCCCGUGAACCUUUACUAUAGCUUGACACUGAACAUUGAGCCUUGAUGUGUAGGAUAGGUGGGAGGCUUUGAAGCGUGGACGCCAGUCUGCGUGGAGCCAACCUUGAAAUACCACCCUUUAAUGUUUGAUGUUCUAACGUUGGCCCCUGACCGGGGUUGCGGACAGUGUCUGGUGGGUAGUUUGACUGGGGCGGUCUCCUCCCAAAGCGUAACGGAGGAGCACGAAGGUUAGCUAAUCCUGGUCGGACAUCAGGAGGUUAGUGCAAUGGCAUAAGCUAGCUUGACUGCGAGCGUGACGGCGCGAGCAGGUGCGAAAGCAGGUCAUAGUGAUCCGGUGGUUCUGAAUGGAAGGGCCAUCGCUCAACGGAUAAAAGGUACUCCGGGGAUAACAGGCUGAUACCGCCCAAGAGUUCAUAUCGACGGCGGUGUUUGGCACCUCGAUGUCGGCUCAUCACAUCCUGGGGCUGAAGUAGGUCCCAAGGGUAUGGCUGUUCGCCAUUUAAAGUGGUACGCGAGCUGGGUUUAGAACGUCGUGAGACAGUUCGGUCCCUAUCUGCCGUGGGCGCUGGAGAAUUGAGGGGGGCUGCUCCUAGUACGAGAGGACCGGAGUGGACGCAUCACUGGUGUUCGGGUUGUCAUGCCAAUGGCACUGCCCGGUAGCUAAAUGCGGAAGAGAUAAGUGCUGAAAGCAUCUAAGCACGAAACUUGCCCCGAGAUGAGUUCUCCCUGAGACUUUAAGUCUCCUGAAGGAACGUUAAAGACGAUGACGUUGAUAGGCCGGGUGUGUAAGCGCAGCGAUGCGUUGAGCUAACCGGUACUAAUGAACCGUGAGGCUUAACCUU